GGAAACCCUGACCGAGCAAUGCCGCGUGUGAGAUGAAGGUCCUCUGGAUUGUAAAUCACUUUUAUUUGGGAAGAAUUGUAAGUAGAGGAAAUGAUACUUACUUGACAGUACCUUUUGAAUAAGCCCCGGCUAACUACGUGCCAGCAGCCGCGGUAAUACGUAGGUGGCGAGCGUUAUCCGGAUUUAUUGGGCGUAAAGCGUGCGUAGACGGUUUAUUAAGUCCAGAAUUAAAGCCCGAGGCUUAACCUCGGUUCGUUCUGGAUACUGGUAGACUAGAGUAUGGUAGAGGCAAAUGGAAUUCCUAGUGUAGCGGUGGAAUGCGUAGAUAUUAGGAGGAACACCAGUGGCGAAGGCGGUUUGCUGGGCCAUUACUGACGUUGAGGUACGAAAGCGUGGGUAGCAAAUAGGAUUAGAUACCCUAGUAGUCCACGCUGUAAACGAUGAGCACUAAGUGUCGGGUUACCGGUGCUGAAGUUAACACAUUAAGUGCUCCGCCUGAGUAGUACGGUCGCAAGACUGAAACUCAAAGGAAUUGACGGGCACCCGCACAAGCGGUGGAGCAUGCCGUUUAAUUCGAAAAUACGCGAAAAACCUUACCUAGACUUGACAUCCCUGGCAAUGCUAUAGAAAUAUAGCGGAGGUUAUCCGGGUGACAGGUGGUGCAUGGUUGUCGUCAGCUCGUGUCGUGAGAUGUUCAGUUAAGUCUGCUAACGAGCGCAACCCUUGUCAAUAGUUGCUAACAUUUAGUUGAGAACUCUAUUGAGACUGCCGGUUUAAACCGGAGGAAGGUGGGGAUGACGUCAAAUCAUCAUGCCCCUUACGUCUAGGGCAACAGGCGUGCUACAAUGGCUGGUACAAUGAGUCGCAAAACCGCGAGGUGGAGCUAAUCUCCAAAGCCAGUCUCAGUUCGGAUUGAAGUCUGCAACUCGACUUCAUGAAGCUGAAAUCGCUAGUAAUCCCGGAUCAGAAUGCCGGGGUGAAUACGUUCUCGGGUGUUGUACACACCGCCCGUCACGGCAUGGGAGUCAAUAAUAUCCGAAGCCGGUAGCCUAACCCGCAAGGGAGGGGGCCGUCGAAGAUAGGAUUGAUGACUGGGCUGAAGUCGUAACAAGGUAUCCCUACCGGAAGGUGGGGAUG
rnacentral:rRNA from 1 species